rnacentral:rRNA from 1 species
AACGAACGCUGGCGGCAUGCCUAACACAUGCAAGUCGAACGAGACCUUCGGGUCUAGUGGCGCACGGGUGCGUAACGCGUGGGAACCUGCCCUUAGGUUCGGAAUAACUCCCCGACAGGGGUGCUAAUACCGGAUAAUGUCUUCGGACCAAAGAUUUAUCGCCUUUGGAUGGGCCCGCGUUGGAUUAGCUAGUUGGUAGGGUAAAAGCCUACCAAGGCGACGAUCCAUAGCUGGUCUGAGAGGAUGCUCAGCCACACUGGGACUGGGACACGGCCCAGACUCCUCCGGGAGGCAGCAGUGGGGAAUAUUGGACAAUGGGCGAAAGCCUGAUCCAGCAAUGCCGCGUGAGUGAUGAAGGCCUUAGGGUUGUAAAGCUCUUUUACCCGGGAUGAUAAUGACAGUACCGGGAGAAUAAGCUCCGGCUAACUCCGUG